GGUGGAAGAAGGUUGGAUUUACUCUCAGCUUGACUUCUUGAUCUGGACUUUGAUCUUCUCCUAUACUCUGUGUUUCUGGUUCUCAGGCUUCCCGAUCAGACCUGGCAUAUAUACCGUUGGCUCUCGAACUCUCGGCCCUUUGGACUUGAUCACCAGACUCCCUGCUUCUCUAGUUUGAAGAUGGCAGAUCAUGGGACAUCUCAACCUCCAAAAUCGUCUAGGCCCUGGCAUGGCUUAAGAGAUUCUGCCCGAAGGAUUAUGGAACAGAUGAACUAUGCUAUAGUCAUACAUACGUAUCAGUUGAAUGUCCUUGACCCAACAAAUGAAUGAAUACCCUUGAUUACACUUCUGCUAAACUUAAGCCGCAUUUAACAAACAGAUACAACAUGAAACAGUAAAAAAAAAA